AACGAACGCUGGCGGCAGGCUUAACACAUGCAAGUCGAGCGAGACCUUCGGGUCUAGCGGCGGACGGGUGAGUAACGCGUGGGAACGUGCCCUUCUCUACGGAAUAGCCCCGGGAAACUGGGAGUAAUACCGUAUACGCCCUUUGGGGGAAAGAUUUAUCGGAGAAGGAUCGGCCCGCGUUGGAUUAGGUAGUUGGUGGGGUAAUGGCCCACCAAGCCGACGAUCCAUAGCUGGUUUGAGAGGAUGAUCAGCCACACUGGGACUGAGACACGGCCCAGACUCCUACGGGAGGCAGCAGUGGGGAAUCUUAGACAAUGGGGGCAACCCUGAUCUAGCCAUGCCGCGUGAGUGAUGAAGGCCUUAGGGUUGUAAAG
rnacentral:rRNA from 1 species